GCCUCUUGGCCCUCCAUGGCACCAGUUUGACACCCCUGGUUUACAGAGAUCUCAGGCCCAGCUAAAAGAGUGGCUGGCAGCAGAGUGGCCCACUGAAAGCAUCUCAGGUCUUAUAAACCUGAGGUCAACAUUUCGAAACUGUCCUCUGCUUGCAGCAAGGUUUGACCCAAAUGUCUGUCUUCCCAGGUGCAAAGAGAAGAUGCGGUUUCAGAGGCGCCUCUCUGGACUGAAGAACAGACUCAAAGGCUCAUACAAAUGUCAUCCUGUCUGAAACAGCACUAAAGACUCAUUACACUCAGCCCCAGACAGGCUAACAAAUGAGUUGUCAUACCACCGCAAGUGGAGCAGUUACCUUUAAUUUCUUUGUUGGGGUGCCAAAUAAAAAAAUACAAUAUCCAGAAGCACAUUGCCAACAACCUUCCCUUGAGUCUGGACAUUUUUUUUUUAUCAUCAUUUUUUAAUCACUGCUUUUGUGUUUUAUCACUGUGUAA